rnacentral:rRNA from 1 species
UACAGAGGUCUCAAGCGUUGUUCGGAUUCAUUGGGCGUAAAGGGUGCGUAGGUGGCGCUGUAAGUCGGGUGUGAAAUUUCGGAGCUUAACUCCGAAACUGCAUUCGAUACUGCCGUGCUUGAGGACUGGAGAGGAGACUGGAAUUUACGGUGUAGCGGUGAAAUGCGUAGAUAUCGUAAGGAAGACCAGUGGCGAAGGCGGGUCUCUGGACAGUUCCUGACGCUGAGGCACGAAGGCCAGGGGAGCAAACAGG